rfam:Pasteurellaceae bacterium 15-036681 NODE_16_length_49196_cov_85.0174, whole genome shotgun sequence.
UCAUCAUCACCAUUUACCUGAAUAAUCUUUCGGGCAUUUUGUGUGUUCGGAAGAAACUUCCGAGCGAAAUGUGUAGCGAAUGCAAAUAGCAAAAAAGCCAAAACAAAUUUCAACCCCUCGGAAGAUAACUUUCGGGGGGUUUCUUUU